rfam:Bacillus pumilus SAFR-032, complete genome.
AGAUGUGCGAUGACAAGGAUUAGUAAGCAAAAUAAUGAUGCAAGAGAGUGAGGUCCACCGGCUGUAAGACCUCACCAUCCUCUUUUUUGCUGAACCUACCCUUUGAGCUGUUAGGCAAACCUAAACGUUUCCCGCGUUAAGGGACUAGAGCUGAGUAUGCAUAUUUGCAUGCUAAUUGAGGGUGGUACCGCGAAAAACCUUUCGUCCUUUUC